ACGAGUUAGGGUUCUUCUCGAGCCCGACCUCCCAACCCUUUGUCUACCUGACCUCUUGUUGCUUCGGCGGACCCGUCUUCACCGACCGCCGGGGGACCGUCGAACGUCCCCUGGCCCGCGUCCGUCGAUGGCCAUUCCAUUCAAAACUCUGAAUCAAUCGUGUCAUUUGUCUGAGUAAUUAGCAAAAUUAAAGCA
rnacentral:misc_RNA from 1 species